CACAAGGAAGGUUUCACCCCGUUGCCGAAAGACUAAGCGUCCCGUUGGCCAGUGCAACGAAGAACGGAGGAAGCGACUGUGGUGGACGGUGGUGCCCCAAAACUUCACAACCACCUAGACAUUCGGAAGGUGACCUUAUUUGGAAUAAGAGAUUUUGCAGAUGUAAUUGAGUUAAAGAUCUGAAGAUGAAAUCAUCAUGAAUUUAGGGUAGGCCGUAAAUCCAAUGACUGACAUCCUUACAAGAAGACAAGAGGACACAGGCACCCGGGGGAAGAGGCCGUAGGAGACCCAGGCAGAGAUUCGGAGCGGUGCCCAUGCCAGGGAUCUCCAGGAGGAGCCAGAAGCUGGGAGAGGCCCUGCAGAUCCUCUCCCAGAGCCUUUGGAGGAGGCACAACCCUGUCCACACCUUGGUCUCCACUUUCUGGCCUCCAGAGCUGUAGGGGAACCCACUUCUGUGGUUUGAAGCCACCAAGUUCGUGGUGACUUAUGGCAGCCCUAGGAAAGUGACAUGCACAGGUAAACCACAUUCACUGCAGGAAAUAUACAAAUCAGCAAAAAGAAAAAAAGCACACAGGGGCACCACCCCCAGAGACAGCCAUGGCUGACAUCCUAGCGGCUGUCACCUCGGAGUGAUGUUCCUAAAAUGCAAACUUCUGAACUGCUUAAAACUCUUCCAG
rnacentral:lncRNA from 1 species